rnacentral:lncRNA from 1 species
GAAUAAUAAUUGUCAAAUGGAUAUAAAUAAAAGAGAUGGUGUAAAAUAAUAUCUUUCCAAACCACAAUUAUUAGCACUCUCUCACAGACAAUACUCAACAUAAAACAAAUGAAAAAAAAAGGGAAAAGAACAAAAACAAAACCAUACAAAAAGGGCUUCUCAAAGCAACAAAUACAACAUCUAAUAAUAUACAGAUCUAGAUACUGAGCUUCUCAGUGUUGGAAGUGGUUGUCAUUGUAGCUUAAUAGCUCUUCUCUUACCUUCACUUCAUGACUUGUUUUUUUUUUCCACAAAUGAUAAAGCCCUAAAGAUAUAACAUAAUAAACGCAUUAUCACCAAAGUGAAACAUAUCAAAAUGCAUAGAAGUUUUGAGUGGACUUAUGUAUAAUUUGGUUACUUCACAUUUUUAAUGCAUCAUAGAAUAUCCUUAAUUAAAUUAUAUUUCUAUCCUUAUUUUUUUAAAAAGUGUUUGUCAUUCAAAUUUAAAUGUUCAUUCAUAGUAGACUAUCCGCGAAAUAAUGUUUCUACUCCUAGUUCUACUCUUUUUUUUUCCAAUUUUUUGUAAUUAAAAUAUAAAUAUUAAAAACUAAACCCAAAUAUAAUUGGUGGUCUUAAAAAAAAAUGUUGUAGAAAUGGAAAACGUUUCAUAUUUUUUGAGACAUGUAACGCGAAUGAAAUGAGAAAAUUUAUGAUUUAUAAAAAAGAGAUGAUAAGUUUAAAGAAAUAUUUGAACUGCACGGUUUCACUCACCAGUAUAUGUAUGAGCUCAACAAGAGGAAUUGAUUUUGAUGAGCACCAUGACAUAAAAUUGAUCUCUCAUAUUAUAAAGAAACUUGAAGUAAGCUUGCCUCCAUUUUCUAUUAAAGAAAAUGGCACAAGAGACUCCCAAAAAGCCAGUGACAAAUCCAGACUCUAUUCCAAUAUAAAACCAUGACAAAAAUUCAUCUUUAUCCUCAUCUUCAUCUAUUGGCUUUGAGUCUUUAUGUUCACCAUCCCGCCAACAGAUUUUGGUAAGUGGAGGUCCACAAAGAUUAGCAUUGCCAAUAUAGUUCACUGCAUCAAACCCUUGAAGUUGUGUCCCAGAUGGAAUUUUGCCACUGAAAUUGUUAAAUGAUAGGUUUAAGACUCCGAGAAAGGACAAAUUGGCCAAGCCUUGAGGAAUUUCACCCCAAAAUUGGUUUGCUGAAAGAUCAAAGGACUCCAAACUUCUCAUGUUGCCAAUCUCAUAUGGUAUUUUCCCCAUUAAUUUAUUGUGAGACAAGUUCAAAGAGCACAAUCCAACGAGGCUGAACAUUUGGGCUGGGAUUGUUCCGAACAAAUUGUUACUUGACAUGUCAAUUAAGGUCAUAAAAUGCAAGUUUGUACCAUAUUCUGAUACUCGACCUUUUGUAACCAGCUUAAGAUUGUCGUCGUAGAAGUAUGUGAGAGAACUAGAAAAAGGAAAGGAAAAACAAAGGCUGCUCUGAAGCAUUGUUGAAAACUAAAGAUGUUAUAUUAUGUAGGCAUGUUGGUAUCUGUCCUGAGAUUAUGUUGUCAGCAAUAUCCAAAAUAAUGAGGGAAGAUAUUUGACAAAUCUGUGUUGGGAUGUUACCACUAAAAUUAUUGGACCUUAGCUGGAGAGCCCUAGCAUCAUGUGGUAUCCAGUGUGGUAUAUUUCCUGAAAAGUUAUUUUCACGCACAUUAAAGAUCAAAAGAGAGUGACAAUUUUGUAGCGAGGUAGGAAUCGUGCCAUAGAGAUUAUUCUCAUGCAAAUGUAGUGAGGCAAGACUAAAUAAGGAGCCCAUUGACGAUGGUAUCUUGCUAGUCAGAUUAUUGCUUCCCAAGUUAACAUGAAUCAAUGAUUUCCAAUUCUUCCAACAAUUUGUAAGCUCUCCAGAUAAAUGAUUACGAGAGAUGUCUAAGAAGAUCAAACUGCCUUUUCCAUUCAGCAUCUUAUGAUCACACAAGAGAGGAAAAAUGGUUCCAGAUAAUAAGUUGUUCGAUGCAUCGAAAAUCGCCACAUUUUGCUUAUAGAUUAUGUUGAAUUUGAUUAAGUUUUGAUCCAAAAUUUAAAAAGUGAAAAUCUUAGAAAAAUCAAUUGAAUGAACUUGAGAGUCAACCUGUUUCUUUAAUGUUUUUCAAUUGUCUAUUUUUUUUACACAACAAUCUCAACCCCAUUUUACUUUAUUGUUAUUUUUUAACCAGUUUAAUUGCAAAUCCGUUUUUUAUAUUAUCUUAAUUGGAUUUAUCAUUAGAUUCGUUAGGAGACAACUCAAGGUCAUCUUAACUUAUCUAUAAUAUCAUUUGAUUGGUGUUAGACGGUCUACGUUAGAAUCAUUUUAAUUUGUCUGUUAAAUGAUAAAUAUCAAUUAUAUAUUUGUUAUGAUACCUUUAUGGGUGUGUAGCCUUUUACAUGUAUGAUUCCAAGGGUUGCGAUAUUGAGUAAUGAAACUAUUGAAUAUAUGAGAUUCUUUUACUUCACUAAUAAGUAAGAUAACGGUGCACAGAGAACAAAAUGAAGAAAGAAAAGAAUGAUUUUUUUAUUAUUCACCUCUCUGCAUCUAAUGAUGCCAAACAUUAUAAUACAAAGAGAAAACAUAAAUUGUAUUGGGCUUGAUAAAGACAGAUAAGACUCAAACUAUGUAAGACCCAAAAAUACAAAAACACCAAAACAGUGGAAAGGUUUUAUUUACUGGUAGAAUCGGGCAACUUGAUAAACCUCAACAGGGAAGGAAUUUGUUUUGAUGACUAUCGUGACAUAAAAUCGAUCUCUCAAGUCGGAAAGAAAUUUGAAGUAUGCGUGUCUCCAUUUUUCUAUUGAAGAAAAUAGCACAACAAAUUCCUAAGAAGCUCGUCACAAAUCCAUAUUUUAUUCCAAUAAAAAAUCAUGACACAAAUUCAAAUUUAUGUUCAUCUUCAUGUGUUGGCAUUAUGUCUUUAGGCUUCACAUCUUGCGAGCAAUUUUUUGUAAGUGGAGGUCCCCAAAGAUCACAGUUGCCUAUAUAGCUGACUAUAUUAAACCCCUGCAUUUAUGUGCUUGAUGGUAUUUGACCUGUCAAAUUGUUGAAGGAUAGGUUUAAGUAACUAAAAAAGGAUAAACUAGAAAAAUCUUGAUGAAUUUUACCCCAAAAAUUGUUAACUAAAAAAUCCAAGGACUCCAAGUUUUUCAUGUUUCCAAUUUCAUUUGGUGUUUUCCCCAUUAAACUAUUGUGGGACAAACUCAAGGAGAACAAUUCAGUAAGGCUAAACAUUUGAGAGGAGAAAUUAGGUAUAGUGUAAUACUAUUGUUUAAAUGUUUUUUUAGGCUAAUGGUAAGAUUCUUCAUCCAAAAUGGUAAGAUUCACUACUAAAACUUUGUUAUUCACAUACCGAUUAUUACAUAUGGAUUUUACAUACGAAGUUGAAUUCGUAUGUAAAGUGAUGUUACAUAAAGAUUUUUACAUACGAAUUUGGAUCCAUAUAUAAAGUGAGCAUUACAUACGGAUUUAGAUCCAUAUGUAAAGUCAGCGUUACAUACGAAUUUUUACAUACGGAUCUGGAUCCGUAUAUAAAGUAAGCGUUACAUACAAAUUUUUACAUACGGAUCCAGAUUCGUAUGUAAAGUAAGCAUUACAUACGGAUUUUUACAUACGAAUAUAGGAAAUUGAAAUAAUUUUAUGAUUUAUUACGUUGUUAGAAUUAAAUUAGAAAAGUAAUUUGAGUUUAAUAUUUCUUUUAAUUUAAUUAAAAAAAAUUAUAAUAUUGAUAUUAAUGAUAAUAUUAAUAUUAAUAUUUUUAUUAAUAUUAAUAAUUUAAUAAUAUUAUUAGUAAUUAUAAUAUUAAUAUUUAAAAUAAUAAUAAUAAUAUUAUUAUUAUUUAUUAUAUUAAUAAUAUUUAAAAUAUUAAUAAUAUCAAUAAUAUUUAUAAUAUUUAUAACAUUUAAUAAUAUUAACAAUACUUAAUAAUAUUAAUCAUAUUUAAUAAUAUUAUUAAUAUUAAUAAUGUUGAUAAUGUUUAUAAUAUUAAUAAUAUUUAAUAGUAUUAAUAAUAUUAAUAUUUAUAAUAUUUAUAAUAUUAAUAAUGUUAACAAUAUUAAUAAUAUUAACAAUAUUAACAAUAGUUAAUAAUAUUAUAUUAAUUAUAUAAAUGAUAUUAAUAAUAAUAAGUAUAAAAUCAUAAUAUGACAAGAAUUUGUGUUAAUGGUUAAAGCUUCUUUGGUUAUUGAAUCGAGUCUUGUCUACUGUUGUUUGUGUAUAACAUAAAUAAUAAUUAUGAUAACAAAUAUAAUAAUUGUAAUUAAUAAUAAUAAAAAUAAACAUAAAUAAUAAUUAUAGAUAAUAAUCAGAUAUAAUUAAAAAAAUUAAAAAUAAAAUCUAGUAUAUUACAUAAAAAAAAAAUCUGUAUGCCCUAAAGAUGAAACAUAAUAAACGCAUUAUCACCAAAGUGAAACAGAUCAAAAUGCAUAGAAGCUUUGAGUGAACUUAUCUAUAAUAUUUGUUAUUUCACAUUUUUAAUGCAUCAUAGAAUAUCUUUAAUUAAAUUAUAUUUCUAUCCUUAUUUUUUAAAAAGUGUUUGUCAUUAAAAUUUAAAUGUUUAUUCAUAGUAGAAUAUCCACGAAAUAAUGUUUCUACUCCUAGUUCUACUCUUUUUUUCGCAAUUUAUUGUAAUUAAAAUACAAAUAUUAAAAGCUAAACCCAAAUGUAAUUUGGUGGUUCUAAAAUGAAAAUGUUGUAAAAAUGAAAAAUGUUUCAUCAUGAGACAUGUAACAAGAAUAAAAUGAGAAAAUUUAUGAUUUAUAACAAAGAGAUGGUGAAGUUUAAAGAAAUAUUUGAACUGCAUGGUUUCACUCACCAAUAUAUGUUUGAGCUCAACGAGAGGAACUCAUUUUGAUGAGCACCAUGACAUAAAGUCAAUCUCUCAUAUUAUAAAGAAACUUGAAGUAAGCUUGCCUCCAUUUUCUAUUAAAGAAAAGGGCACAAGAGACUCCCAAAAAGCCAAUGACGAAUCCAGACUCUAGUCCAAUAUAAAACCAUGACAAAAAUUCAUCUUUAUCCUCAUUUUCAUCUAUUGGCUUUGAGUCUUUAUGUUCACCAUCCUGCCAGCAGAUUUUGGUAAGUGGAGGUCCACAAAGAUUAGGAUUGCUAAUAUAGCUCACUACAUCAAACCCCUGAAGUUGUGUCCUAAAUGAAAUUUUGCCACUGAAAUUGUUAAAUGAUAGGUUUAAGACUCCGAGAAAGGACAACUUGGCCAAGCCUUGAGGAAUUUCACCCCAAAAUUGGUUUGCUGAAAGAUCAAGGGACUCCAAGCGUCUCAUGUUCCCAAUCUCAUAUGGUAUUUUCCCCAUUAAUUUAUUGUGAGACAAGUUCAAAGAGCACAAUCCAACGAGGCUGAACAUUUGGGGAGGCACUGUUCCGAACAAAUUGUUACUUGACAUGUCAAUUAAGGUCAUAAAGUGCGAGUUUGUAUCGUAUUCUGAUACUCGACCUUUUGUAACUAGCUCAAGA